AGAGAGACUUUAUCACAGCAGAGCCAUAUCUCAAAAAUCAAAACAAAAACAAAAACCGUUGAAAUAAAGCAGAUAACUUCCUGUGGAACGACAUUCCACGGGAACUACACCAGCCGGACUCCGAGUCGCUGGUGCUAAUCUUACUGCAGAAACAAAACCCAGGCCGGACUGUGCCGAUAGAGAAGACCAGCGAUUGUCUUUUCAUUGGGAUGGUGGUCAACACAAACACAUUAUCUCCGCCGCCGCGGUGCUCUGAGAGCUGUGUCACCUUCCUGCCGCAUGCCCCGAGCUGCUGAAACAAUGGGGAGAGAGAAACCGGACCGCUUCAGUCUGCAAACUUCUGCUGCAACUUCUUGGGUGAAACACGCCGCAGCGAGUCACAUGAGUGGAGGUGCAGUUUCCUCCAAAAGAAGGCGGUCGUCACUUCAGGAGACAAACUACAGGAACCGGGUUCCUCUGAAGCAGACUGUAAAGCAGCGCAUACCCAGCUGAUGCCUCGUAUGGUCGGCGUCUCCCCGGAGAAGCGGUCCGGGAACACUUGGUAGUUGUGACUCCGAAGGAGAUGCAUCUCGGUCUCGGAUGGAGGAAAAAAAUACAAACAAGCGGAAACAAUCGGCAAACAA